UGUACGUGCAAGAACAGGCGAUCCAGGGUGACGUUUCUCAUUUUGGAGAAAAGGGAGUAGGAGCGCCCCACCCUUUUAAUUCAGUGCAUGGGUGAAGUCAUGUCUGCGGGAGUGCUUUGGGUCACGUACUGUAGGUACAGAGGUGGAAUAUUUCAUUUAACCAACUAAAAGUAAAUUCUCUGUAUUUAGCUCCAAAGGUAACACUUUGUUGUUUGUUAGCACAAUAAUAGGAUGGCAAGGGUAAAAACAAUACUUUUGUGACUCAAACGUAAACAUUUUAAAUUGUUCAAAGUUUUGAAAAUCAAUUGUGGGUGAGGGGGAUUCGAAGGCACUUAUGAUAUGAGUCAAAUGUCGAGAGAAAGUUGUCAUGUUUGAACAUUUGAAAAAGUAACACCGCUUUUUUUUCAAGCUGCCUCAUUAUUUUCAGAUAUAUAUUUUGGCGGCACUGCUAUAUUUUGACUAGGUUGUAUCACUUUAUAUGAAUACAAUCACUGUAGAAAAAAACAUUUACACAUGUGCAGUUAUGCAACUAGCGUAUUUGGUGUUUACAAGUUGUCAAAGAGCAUUUCUAAUCAGGUGAGUGUGUGUCCUUGUCACAAGUGAGUCGCUCUCCAAUCAAGAGUUGUUUUUAAAAAUCAAGAGAAGCAGCUGAGUAUGUUUCAUUUUAUUUUUUUCUAUUUGUCACCAUAAGGAAGGCCAAAUUGCUCCCAUGGCUUCAUUGUUUCUGCAAUGUAAACAUUGAAUGAGCAAGCCUGCAAACACACUGCUCCAAGGUUUCCGCAACAGGCGUGUACACACCCUCUACAAUUCCGCCCCCCCCACCUCUCGUAAGGUCAGCAGAGUUAUAUUUAGCAGUCACGCCUAAUCAGCCUCGUGCAAGCUGCUUCUAUAAAGCCGAGAUCCGAACUCCACGACUCAGACAUUUGACUGAGACGACCGCACUUCUUUACAAAUCACAAGGACAUUAACAAAGCAUGAAACACAGACGCCUACUGCAGUCGCUGCCCCUCUUGCCCACCAUCAUGGAGACGCUAGAAGACUUGCCUACUGCCUGCCAGUCUACUCCGUCUAUGCACUCCCUGGAUGACUACAUGAGAAGCAUUGGAGCUCUCGCUUGUCCCGAGGGGCCCCUGAGCUCGGCCCCCUUCAGGCUCCAAAGACCCCCCAGGCUGAGGCAGUUGUCCAAGGCUCAGAUGAAACACUCUGUAUCGGCCUCGCUUCCUCGCAGCUCCCCACGCGCCCACAGAACUUGUUGGCCUUCUUGCACGGGUGUGAGCGCCACAGAGGAUUGUUCUCUCAGGAGACAACAAGACAGUCGAGGUAAAGACCCCGUGGACUGGCUCUUUGCUCAGAUGAGGACUUGAAGGGGCACUUUUGGGGGCGCUUUUCAUAAAAGCGAGAUCACAGUGACAUUUGGGAAGGAUGGAUGCACAUGGAGUGAAUGGCUAUUUAUUUGCACGUAAUGUGAAGGCACUAUUGUUCACAUUUUGUAUGUUUCUAUUAAAAGGUUGAAAUCA